rnacentral:rRNA from 1 species
AUGAACGCUGGCGGCGUGCCUAAUACAUGCAAGUCGAGCGAACGGACGAGAAGCUUGCUUCUCUGAUGUUAGCGGCGGACGGGUGACUAACACGUGGAUAACCUACCUAUAAGACUGGGAUAACUUCGGGAAACCGGAGCUAAUACCGGAUGAUAUUUUGAACCGCAUGGUUCAAAAGUGAAAGACGGUCUUGCUGUCACUUAUAGAUGGAUCCGCGCUGCAUUAGCUAGUUGGUAAGGUAACGGCUUACCAAGGCAACGAUGCAUAGCCGACCUGAGAGGGUGAUCGGCCACACUGGAACUGAGACACGGUCCAGACUCCUACGGGAGGCAGCAGUAGGGAAUCUUCCGCAAUGGGCGAAAGCCUGACGGAGCAACGCCGCGUGAGUGAUGAAGGUCUUCGGAUCGUAAAACUCUGUUAUUAGGGAAGAACAUAUGUGUAAGUAACUGUGCACAUCUUGACGGUACCUAAUCAGAAAGCCACGGCUAACUACGUG